UACGAAGGGUGCUAGCGUUGUUCGGAAUGACUGGGCGUAAAGGGCGUGUAGGUUGUUAUAUGCGUCAGAUGUGAAAGUCCUGGGCUUAACCUGGGGACUGCAUUUGAUACGGUAUAACUAGAGGCUUUGAGAGGGAGAUGGAAUUGUGCGUGUAGAAGUGAAAUUCGUAGAGAUGCACAGGAACACCAGUGGCGAAGGCGAUCUCCUGGCAACAGCCUGACACUAAAGCGCGAAAGCGUGGGGAGCAAACAGG
rnacentral:rRNA from 1 species